UACGUAGGGACCGAGCGUUGUCCGGAUUCAUUGGGCGUAAAGGGCGCGUAGGCGGCCUUCUAAGUCGAACGUGAAAUCCCCGGGCUCAACCCGGGAACUGCGUCCGAUACUGGAAGGCUUGAAUCCGGGAGAGGGAUGCGGAAUUCCAGGUGUAGCGGUGAAAUGCGUAGAUAUCUGGAGGAACACCGGUGGCGAAGGCGGCAUCCUGGACCGGCAUUGACGCUGAGGCGCGAAAGCCAGGGGAGCAAACGGG
rnacentral:rRNA from 1 species